GACGAACGCUGGCGGCGUGCUUAACACAUGCAAGUCGAACGGAAAGGUCCUGCUUUUGUGGGGUGCUCGAGUGGAGAACGGGUGAGUAACACGUGAGUAACCUGCCCUUGACUUUGGGAUAACGUCAGGACACUUGGGCUCAUACCGGAUAGGAGCUCCUGCUGCAUGGUGGGGGUUGGAAAGUUUCGGCGGUUGGGGAUGGACUCGCGGCUCAUCAGCUUGUUGGUGGGGUAGUGGCUUACCAAGGCUUUGACGGGUAGCCGGCCUGAGAGGGUCACCGGCCACAUUGGGACUGAGAUACGGCACAGACUCCUACGGGAGGCAGCGGUGGGGAAUAGUGUACUAUGGGCGGAAGGCAGAUGCAGCAACGCCGCGUGCGGGAUGACGGCCAUCGGGUUGUAAUCCGCAUUCGCCUGUGACGAAGCGUGAGUGACGGUAAUAGGUAAAGAAGCACCGGCUAACUACGUG
rnacentral:rRNA from 1 species